GGAAGAGUGGCAGAGUGGCCGAUCGCGACUGUCUUGAAAACAGUUUACGGGAAACCGUACGUUCGAAUCCUCCUCUUCCG
rnacentral:tRNA from 1 species